GGAUACGAGAUAUCACCGGAGGCUUACCACUGAUAGAUGCGGCAACUUACCUCAUAUGAUUGAGGUGCUUUCUAUUUUCCAGGGGCACCUGAUGCUAAGGGUUUGAACAUGAACAAGCCAUUAUCCAAACUACAGCCUAGCAACUAAAAGGAACUGAACGCUAUCACAGACCAGAACUGCAUAUGAGGAUAUCUUUGUUGAUAUGCAAUCGUUUUACAUACUUCUAGUCCCCAAAGGAUACUGCACCUACCCUUUUUGGAAGUCCCUCCCAACUUUUUUUACACUCUGAUAUUACUCUCAUCUUAAUCCUGGAUUUAAUUUCUUAUACUCCCGGACAUCACUGAAUUAACUUUAAG